UACGGGGGGGGUAAGCGUUGUUCGGAAUUACUGGGCGUAAAGGGCUCGUAGGCGGCCAACUAAGUCGGACGUGAAAUCCCUCAGCUUAACUGGGGAACUGCGUCUGAUACUGGAUGGCUUGGAUUCGGGAGAGGGAUGCAGAAUUCCAGGUGUAGCGGUGAAAUGCGUAGAUAUCUGGAGGAAUACCGGUGGCGAAGGCGGCAUCCUGGACCGGCAUUGACGCUGAGGCGCGAAAGCUAGGGGAGCAAACGGG
rnacentral:rRNA from 1 species